rnacentral:rRNA from 1 species
AUGCAAGUCGAGCGAACAGACGAGGAGCUUGCUCCUUUGACGUUAGCGGCGGACGGGUGAGUAACACGUAGGUAACCUACCUAUAAGACUGGGAUAACUUCGGGAAACCGGAGCUAAUACCGGAUAAUAUUUCGAACCGCAUGGUUCGAUAGUGAAAGAUGGCUUUGCUAUCACUUAUAGAUGGACCUGCGCCGUAUUAGCUAGUUGGUAAGGUAACGGCUUACCAAGGCAACGAUACGUAGCCGACCUGAGAGGGUGAUCGGCCACACUGGAACUGAGACACGGUCCAGACUCCUACGGGAGGCAGCAGUAGGGAAUCUUCCGCAAUGGGCGAAAGCCUGACGGAGCAACGCCGCGUGAGUGAUGAAGGUCUUCGGAUCGUAAAACUCUGUUAUUAGGGAAGAACAAACGUGUAAGUAACUGUGCACGUCUUGACGGUACCUAAUCAGAAAGCCACGGCUAACUACGUGCCAGCAGCCGCGGUAAUACGUAGGUGGCAAGCGUUAUCCGGAAUUAUUGGGCGUAAAGCGCGCGUAGGCGGUUUUUUAAGUCUGAUGUGAAAGCCCACGGCUCAACCGUGGAGGGUCAUUGGAAACUGGAAAACUUGAGUGCAGAAGAGGAAAGUGGAAUUCCAUGUGUAGCGGUGAAAUGCGCAGAGAUAUGGAGGAACACCAGUGGCGAAGGCGACUUUCUGGUCUGUAACUGACGCUGAUGUGCGAAAGCGUGGGGAUCAAACAGGAUUAUAUACCCUGGUAGUCCACGCCGUAAACGAUGAGUGCUAAGUGUUAGGGGGGUUUCCGCCCCUUAGUGCUGCAGCUAA